AAUCUUCCGCAAUGGACGAAAGUCUGACGGAGCAACGCCGCGUGAGUGAAGAAGGUUUNCGGAUCNUNAAACUCUGUUGUUAGAGNAGAACAAGGGUGAGAGUAACUGUUCACCCCUUGACGGUAUCUAACCAGAAAGCCACGGCUAACUACGUGCCAGCAGCCGCGGUAAUACGUAGGUGGCAAGCGUUGUCCGGAAUUAUUGGGCGUAAAGCGCGCGCAGGCGGUCCUUUAAGUCUGAUGUGAAAGCCCACGGCUCAACCGUGGAGGGUCAUUGGAAACUGGAGGACUUGAGUACAGAAGAGGAAAGCGGAAUUCCACGUGUAGCGGUGAAAUGCGUAGAGAUGUGGAGGAACACCAGUGGCGAAGGCGGCUCUCUGGUCUGUUACUGACGCUGAGGUGCGAAAGCGUGGGGAUCAAAC
rnacentral:rRNA from 1 species